rnacentral:misc_RNA from 1 species
GUGAAUCAUCAAAUCUUUGAACGCAAAUUGCACUUUCUGGUAUUCCGGUGAGUAUGCCUGUUUGAGGGUCAGUUAAAUAAUAAUCGGUGUUAUUGCUAUUAAUGGUGUUGCAUCGGAAUUGAGUCGUCUUUACCUUUGGAUUUAAGUUACUUAAAAUUUGGUACGAUUUCUGAUCGUAUUUAAAUUGUUGACUUACUCUCAUGAGAUCACAUAGUAU